rnacentral:rRNA from 1 species
GACGAACGCUGGCGGCGUGCCUAAUACAUGCAAGUAGAACGCACAGAUUAUACCGUAGCUUGCUACACCAUAGACUGUGAGUUGCGAACGGGAGAGUAACGCGUAGGUAACCUGCCUGGUAGCGGGGGAUAACUAUUGGGAACGAAAGCUAAUACCGCAUAAUAUUGAUUAUUGCAUGAUAAUUGACUGAAUGAUUCUAUUGCAUCACUACCAGAUGGACCUGCGUUGUAUUAGCUAGUAGGUGAGGUAACGGCUCACCUAGGCGACGGUACAUAGCCGACCUGAGAGGGUGAUCGGCCACACUGGGACCGAGGCACCGCCCAGACUCCUACGGGAGGCAGCAGUAGGGGAUCUUCGGCAAUGGACAAAAGGCUGAACGGGCAACGCCGCGUGAGUGAAGAAGGUUUUCGGAUCGUAAAGCUCCGUUGUAAGAGAAGAAAGGGUGUGAGAGUGGAAAGUUCACGCUGUGACGGUAUCUUAUCAGAAAGAGACGGCUAACUACGUG